rnacentral:rRNA from 1 species
UACAGAGGGUGCAAACGUUGCUCGGAAUUACUGGGCGUAAAGCGCGUGUAGGCGGUUUCGCGAGUCCGAUGUGAAAGCCCGGGGCCCGACUCCGGAAGUGCAUUGGAUACUACGAAGCUUGAGUGCUGGAGAGGAGAGCGGAAUUCCCGGUGUAGAGGUGAAAUUCGUAGAUAUUCGCAAGAACACCAGUGGCGAAGGCGGCUCACUGGCCCGAUACUGACGCUGAGGCACGAAAGCGUGGGGAGCAAACAGG